rnacentral:lncRNA from 1 species
UGGAAGCAAAAUUUUGCUUCCAAAUUGUUCACCCACAGAAGCAUUUCAUGAACCGAGCCAGCAGCAUAUGGAGAAGAAAACCAAGGGCCUUAGGUGGUUGCUGCAACUUUAAUUCAGCUGCCAGAAGGAACUCACAUAAACAAAACAUUACCCCAACUGCUGAUUUGCAGCUAAGCAUUCUGAACCUCACUUAUUUCAGAUGCAUCCCAGUCAACUAGUCUUCUAACCAUGAGGAUGGAUGC